rnacentral:pre_miRNA from 1 species
UCGUGCUCAACGGGUAAGUGGUGUAGAUGAAACAAAUUUACCAACAAUAUUUUUUGUUGGAUUGUUUCACCUAUCGUUCCAUUUGCAGAUACGA